CGGCUGCAGUUGUUAUGGGGCUUUGGAAGAAAAAAAAUGUGCUCCAACGAUUGAUCUGCUUUGGGGGGUAAUAUCUUGAGAGGAGGAGGUGGUGGUGGUGUUGUGGUAGUGGUACCGAUGGUAAUAUCCGUUGUAGUAAUGUUGGUGGUGAUGUCUAACAAAAGGGUUUGGAGGUGAUGGAAGAUCAAGAGAAGGUUUGGAGGAGGGAACUGGAAGAGCCGCC
rnacentral:lncRNA from 1 species